CGCGUAGGCGGUUUUCCAAGUCAGGCGUGAAAGCCCCGGGCUCAACCCGGGAACUGCGCUUGAUACUGUGAGACUUGAGACCGGGAGAGGAUAGUGGAAUUCCCAGUGUAGAGGUGAAAUUCGUAGAUAUUGGGAAGAACACCAGUGGCGAAGGCGGCUAUCUGGACCGGUACUGACGCUGAGGCGCGAAAGCGUGGGGAGCAAACAGGAUUAGAUACCCUGGUAGUCCACGCCGUAAACGAUGAGUGCUAGACGUUGGAGGGCUUGCUCUUCAGUGUCGAAGCUAACGCGAUAAGCACUCCGCCUGGGGAGUACGGCCGCAAGGUUAAA
rnacentral:rRNA from 1 species